rnacentral:rRNA from 1 species
GGUCCGUCCAAGCAGUGAGGCUGAUGUGUAGGCAAAUCCGCACAUCGUAAGGCUGGGCUGUGAUGGGGAGCGAAAAUUGCAGUAGCGAAGGUCAUGAGUUCAGGCUGCCAAGAAAAGCCUCUAGCCAGGUGAAGGUGCCCGUACCGCAAACCGACACAGGUAGUCGAGCAGAGUAUGCUAAGGCGCUCGGAAGAACUCUCGUUAGGGAACUCGGCAAAAUGACCCCGUAACUUCGGGAGAAGGGGUGCCUCGGUAGGGUGAAUAGCCCGAGGGGGCCGCAGUGAAAAGGCCCAAGCGACUGUUUAGCAAAAACACAGGUCUGUGCGAAGCCGUAAGGCGAAGUAUACGGGCUGACGCCUGCCCGGUGCUGGAAGGUUAAGGGGAGUGGUUAGCCGCAAGGCGAAGCUAUGAACCGAAGCCCCAGUAAACGGCGGCCGUAACUAUAACGGUCCUAAGGUAGCGAAAUUCCUUGUCAGGUAAAUUCUGACCCGCACGAAUGGCGUAACGACUUGGGCGCUGUCUCAACGAGAGAUCCGGUGAAAUUUUAAUACCUGUGAAGAUGCAGGUUACCCGCGACAAGACGGAAAGACCCCAUGGAGCUUUACUGCAGCUUGAUAUUGGACUUUGGUACGAUCUGUACAGGAUAGGUGGGAGCCUUGGAAACCGGAGCGCCAGCUUCGGUGGAGGCAUCGUUGGGAUACCACCCUGAUCGUAUCGGAGUUCUAACCUGGUACCGUAAUCCGGUACAGGGACCGUGUCAGGUGGGCAGUUUGACUGGGGCGGUCGCCUCCUAAAAUGUAACGGAGGCGCCCAAAGGUUCCCUCAGAAUGGUUGGAAAUCAUUCGUAGCGUGUAAAGGCAUAAGGGAGCUUGACUGCGAGACCUACAAGUCGAGCAGGGACGAAAGUCGGGCUUAGUGAUCCGGUGGUACCGAAUGGAAGGGCCAUCGCUCAACGGAUAAAAGCUACCCUGGGGAUAACAGGCUUAUCUCCCCCAAGAGUCCACAUCGACGGGGAGGUUUGGCACCUCGAUGUCGGCUCAUCGCAUCCUGGGGCUGAAGUAGGUCCCAAGGGUUGGGCUGUUCGCCCAUUAAAGCGGUACGCGAGCUGGGUUCAGAACGUCGUGAGACAGUUCGGUCCCUAUCUGUCGUGGGCGUAGGAAAUUUGCGAGGAGCUGUCCUUAGUACGAGAGGACCGGGAUGGACGCACCGCUGGUGUACCAGUUGUUCCGCCAGGAGCAUAGCUGGGUAGCCAAGUGCGGACGGGAUAAGCGCUGAAAGCAUCUAAGCGUGAAGCCCCCCUCAAGAUGAGAUUUCCCAGUAUGUAAGACCCCUUGAAGACGACGAGGUUGAUAGGUUCGAGGUGGAAGCGCAGCAAUGCGUGGAGCUGACGAAUACUAAUCGGUCGAGGGCUUAUCCA